CCUCUCUAUCUCUCUCUCUCUCUCUCUCUCUUCCUCUCUCUCCCUCUAUCUGUCUCUCCCUCUAUCUGUCUCUCUCUCUCUCCCCCCUCUCUCUCUCCCCCUCUCUCUCCCCCCUCUCUCCCUCUCUCUCUCUCUCUCUCCCUCUCUCUCUUCCUCUCUCUGUGCAGGUGUUGUGUCCUGCUGUAAAAGUACCACCAGUGGCACCACUUCACCCGGCAGAUUGCCCCUCCACCCUGCAGAUUGCCCCUCCACCCUGCAGAUUGCCCCUCCACCCUGCAGAUUGCCCCUCCACCCUGCAGAUUGCCCCUCCCUCUCUCAGGCCACAGUACAGGUGGUAACAUGGUGGUGUAACAUGCAACCUCCACACAAGCAUUACUCACACGCCCUCCCCCACUUUAUCCCCCUUUUCUCUCCUCCCCUUCUCCUGGUGUAUAAGAGUCAGCCCAGACAAUCGUGGGCUCAGUCUAGUCAACUUUAGAGAGAGAGAGGAGAGAGAGGAGAGAGAGAGAGAGAGAGAGAGGAGAGAGAGGAGAGAGAGAGAAUACAGCACAAGACCUCUGGAGUACCACUGGCGACGGGACGUUCUUUUCUGGAACAGUUUUCUUUGACACACAUACACACUCGCAUUCACACUUUCUUUUACACACACUGACUCGGAGCAGCAGCAUGUUGGUGAACAGGGUCUGGCAUGUGGUGUGUGUGCUCUGCUGUGUGUGUGUGUUGGUGUGUGUGAGCGUGGAGGAAUAUGAAGUGAACUACGCGGACAACUACGAAAACGAGAUUACACAGGACCAACAGGACGGGGACUCCCCUGUGACCACCUGCCAGGCUACAGACCUCUCUCGCUGGAACAAACUCUUCGUGGCUCUGGAGGACUCCCACCAGAGGGAUAUGAUGCUGAUGGAAGCCCUGGAGCAACGCUGUGGAACCCCGGGAGUCUGUCAGCAGUGCCUGCCCGCCAUCGAGGCAGUUUGCCGGGGGCAGGCAGAGCAGGCGAGCCCCAGGCUCCAUCGAGGCCUAGUGGAGCUGAAGGAGGAGGUAACAGAACGAGAGGGGAGGAUGAAUUCUUCACUACAGCAGAUCAGACAGGAGGGAGCAGAAAGUUAUGGGAGGAUGAUGGCUGUGUUACAUCAUCUCGUUCAGAACAGUAGAGAGCAGAACCAUAGACUACAUCGAUUGGAGGAGAGUAAGCUGAGAGGGGAGGUGACAGAAGGGGCUGGAUCUAUAGGAGCCGGGCAUAGAGAAGCAGAGCCAAUCAGGACAGGGCAUAAAGAGAAUGGGUUUAGGGGAGGGGCUUAAUGGGACAGGUGUUCCAAUAGGGACGAGGCCUGGCAGUGUAAGGGUGGGUCUCGGACUGGGUUUGGGCAUGAAGCUGUUCCCGUCAAGCACAAAGAAACAGGAAGUGGCAUCAUCGCCAUCAUCGGACCCGGGAAAGAUUGAGCGGGCGGCCUCUGGUUGCUAUAGCGAUGGAACUGCAGAAGGCGCAGACCCAGCUGGGCCUAAUAUCCUCUGUAGGGAACGAAGGAUGAAAAAAGACGAGGAGAUAUUAAAGGAAGGAUGUCUGAUGGAUAUUGUCCUCUAUCAGGGACUGAAUUAAAACUAAAAUAUAAACGGAUUGAAAUUUUGCACACUAACAUAUCACCUUUUUAUACAUUAGUAAAGCAAGACAAUCGCCUUGAAAUAUGUUUAGUAUUCUUUUUAAAUUCUGUUUAAUUAAAGGAAAUGCUUGUCCAAGUGAUGAAUAAAGAUUUGUUCAACCUUUUAAUUGGUGGAAAGGGUUCCUUC
ensembl:lncRNA uncharacterized LOC115196217